rnacentral:tRNA from 1 species
AAAUGUUAAAUAGAUAAGCUAUGUUUGAUUUCGGCUCAAAAAGAUUAACAUUUUU